rfam:Pan troglodytes isolate Yerkes chimp pedigree #C0471 (Clint) chromosome 7, whole genome shotgun sequence.
GCCAGGUGUGGUCACGUGCACCUGUAGUCUCAGCUACUUUGGAGGCUGAGGCAGGAGAAUUGUUUGAGCCCAGGAGGCAGAGGUUGUAGUGAGCCGAGAUCGUGCCACUGCAUUCCAGCCUGGGCGACAGAGCAGGACCCUGUCUCCA